rnacentral:rRNA from 1 species
AGUUGUAAUCUAGAGAAGUGUUACCCGCGUUGGACCGGUACAAGUCUCCUGGAAUGGAGCGUCAUAGAGGGUGAGAAUCCCGUCUUUGACACGGACUACCAAGGCUUUGUGGUGCGCUCUCAACGAUCGAGUUGUUUGGGAAUGCAGCUCAAAAUGGGUGGUAAAUUCCAUCUAAAGCUAAAUACAGGCGAGAGACCGAUAGCGAACAAGUACCGUGAGGGAAAGAUGAAAAGAACUUUGGAAAGAGAGUUAAACAGUACGUGAAAUUGCUGAAAGGAAACGCUGGAAGUCAGUCGCGUUGGCUAGGAAUCAACCUUACUCUUUUGUAGGGCUUACUUCUUAGUUGACGGGCCAACAUCAAUUUUGAUUGCUGGAAAAAGGCUUAGGGAAUGUGGCACCUUCGGUGUGUUAUAGCCCUAGGUUGUAUACAGUGGUUGGGAUUGAGGAACGCAGCACGCCGUAAGGUUGGGCUCUGAUCACACUCGUGCUUCGGAUGUUGGCAUAAUGGCUUUCAUCGACCCGUCUUGAAACACGGACCAAGGAGUCUAACAUGCCUGCGAGUGUUUGAGUGGAAAACUCGAGCGCACAAUGAAGUAAUAGUUGAGAUCUCUGUCAUGGAGAGCAUCGACGCCCGGACCUGAUGUUUACUGACGGUUCUGCGGUAGAGCAUGUAUGUUGGGACCCGAAAGAUGGUGAACUAUGCCUGAAUAGGGUGAAGCCAGAGGAAACUC